rnacentral:rRNA from 1 species
ACGAACGCUGGCGGCGUGCUUAACACAUGCAAGUCGAACGCUGAAGCUCAGCUUUUGUUGGGUGGAUGAGUGGCGAACGGGUGAGUAACACGUGAGUAACCUGCCCCCUUCUUUGGGAUAACGCCCGGAAACGGGUGCUAAUACUGGAUAUUCACUGGUCUUCGCAUGGGGGUUGGUGGAAAGGGUUUUUCUGGUGGGGGAUGGGCUCGCGGCCUAUCAGCUUGUUGGUGGGGUGAUGGCCUACCAAGGCUUUGACGGGUAGCCGGCCUGAGAGGGUGACCGGUCACAUUGGGACUGAGAUACGGCCCAGACUCCGACGGGAGGCAGCAGUGGGGAAUAUUGCACAAUGGGCGCAAGCCUGAUGCAGCGACGCCGCGUGAGGGAUGGAGGCCUUCGGGUUGUGAACCUCUUUCGCUCAUGGUCAAGCCGCAACAAUGGUUGUGGUGAGGGUAGUGGGUAAAGAAGCGCCGGCUAACUACGUG